rnacentral:rRNA from 1 species
UACAGAGGUCCCGAGCGUUGUUCGGAUUCACUGGGCGUAAAGGGUGCGUAGGUGGCGGGGAAAGUCGGAUGUGAAAUCCCCAGGCUUAACCUGGGAAUUGCAUCCGAUACUGGAUGGCUUGAAUCCGGGAGAGGGAUGCGGAAUUCCAGGUGUAGCGGUGAAAUGCGUAGAUAUCUGGAGGAACACCGGUGGCGAAGGCGGCAUCCUGGACCGGCAUUGACGCUGAGGAGCGAAAGCCAGGGGAGCAAACGGG